rnacentral:miRNA from 1 species
AGGGCUCUGGACUCCUAGUCCAAUGCUUGGUACUGCCGGGGGCCUCCCAGGUCUCUGAUGGCCU